UCUUAUGGAUGAGCAAAGAGAGUGGUUUCUUUAGAUGGAAACUACUCCUAGUGAUGAUGCUGUGAA
rnacentral:pre_miRNA from 1 species